rnacentral:rRNA from 1 species
AACGUAGGGGACAAGCGUUAUCCGGCUUUACUGGGCGUAAAGCGCCCGUAGGCGGCCUGACAAGUUGGACGUGAAAGCUCCUGGCUUAACUGGGAGAGGCCGUUCAAAACUGUCAAGCUAGAGUCUGGAAGAGGAGAGCGGAAUUCCCGGUGUAGUGGUGGAAUGCGUAGAGAUCGGGAGGAACACCAGUGGCGAAAGCGGCUCUCUGGUCCAAAACUGACGCUGAGGGGCGAAAGCGUGGGGAGCGAACGGG